AACGCGAAGAACCUUACCUGGUCUUGACAUCCACAGAACUUUCCAGAGAUGGAUUGGUGCCUUCGGGAACUGUGAGACAGGUGCUGCAUGGCUGUCGUCAGCUCGUGUUGUGAAAUGUUGGGUUAAGUCCCGCAACGAGCGCAACCCUUAUCUUUUGUUGCCAGCGGUCCGGCCGGGAACUCAAAGGAGACUGCCAGUGAUAAACUGGAGGAAGGUGGGGAUGACGUCAAGUCAUCAUGGCCCUUACGACCAGGGCUACACACGUGCUACAAUGGCGCAUACAAAGAGAAGCGACCUCGCGAGAGCAAGCGGACCUCAUAAAGUGCGUCGUAGUCCGGAUUGGAGUCUGCAACUCGACUCCAUGAAGUCGGAAUCGCUAGUAAUCGUGGAUCAGAAUGCCACGGUGAAUACGUUCCCGGGUCUUGUACACACGC
rnacentral:rRNA from 2 species